UUAUAAUCAGUUCUUUGUUGAUUAAAAUUGUGCAAAAAAAGUUGUCUUUCCUUCUUGGGAAACCUUAACCUGACAGCAAAGAGAGUUUAGUCACUCUACUUUAGAUUUCCUGAGCCAUCAGCUCAGCACUCACUGGGUGACGCCCUUCCUUCUGUGGUCAGAAGGCUUGGGGCUUUUGUAUCUACUUGAUAAUCUUAGCACUGAGAAAUACCCUUCCAUAGGUUCCAUAGGUUUUCCUUUUCCCAAGACAGAGUAUCAUGUACUCCAUACUAGCUUUGAGACUCCCUGUGUAUCCUAGGAUGACUUUGAAUUUACUUUAAAAAAAAUACUUUUAUGGGUAUUUGAUCUAAGUGUAUGUUUGUGUACCUAGCGGUCCAGGAGGUGUUGGUUGACCUGGGGUUGUAGUUAGAGGUGGUUGUGAUUUACCCUCUUUGUGUAGGAAUUGAACUCAGGGCUUUGUACAUGCUAGGCAAGCAUUCUGUGAACUAAGCUAGUCUCAGAGAACACUAUAUGCCUUUUAUUUACUUAUUGUUUUUGUAGUUCUGGAAUUGAAUGCUGUGAGGCCUUGUGCGGCCAGCCAGCCACUCACCCCACUGCUAAGCUUCUACAACCCAGUCUAAAGUCUCUAAACAAUGUUGAGGUUUUUUUCUUUUUGCCCUGUUAAACUGAAGUCCAGAUUUCCCCAUCUUUGUAAUUCUCUUGAAAUUUGCCUGAUGUUUAUACUGUUCAUAUUGUUAAUACAGAGCUCUGAAGCUACAAAGUGUGCUCUCUACACAGGAUAUUUUAAUUUUUCUUUUAUAAACAUUAAAUAUUUUCUUUGUUGUUGUUUCUUUCUUAGUUAUCUUUUUGUUGUUGUUGAUGAUGAUGAUGAUGGUGAUGGUGGUGGUGCUGAGAUGGGGUUUCUCUCUGUGUAGUCCUGGCUGUCCUGGUACUCACUCUGUAUAGCGGGCUGUCAAUAAACGCUGAGAUCUGUGCUUCUGUCUCCACAGUGCUGAGACUAAAGACAUUCACCAUCAUCACGCCUGGCUGUCUUUUUUGGUUGUCUUAAUUUCAAAUUUCUUUUUUUUUUUUUUUUUGAGACAGGGUUUCUCUGUAUAGCCCUGGCUGUCCUGGAACUCACUCCGUAGACCAGACUGGCCUUGAACUCAGAAAUCCGCCUGCCUCUGCCUCCUGAGUGCUGGGAUCAAAGGCAUGCGCUACCAUGCCCUGCCGGAGUAUUUUCUUUGAAGAAUAGUGGUUAAUGAAGUGGGAAACCUUCCCCUUCUUGAGUGUGUCCAUAUUUCAUAGUGCCCAGACAAUUGAUGAGUUCUGAAUGUCAGCCGAAGACCAAGAUGUCAGUUGGCAGGUUAGACACUCAGCUUUCUUGAUGCUUUCUUUGUAGAUCAGUCAGGUUGUCACAUUUUCUUGUCCCCUGGUAUAUAUAGAUCAGGGGCCUAUGGGAUUAUUAGGCCUUUCUUAGAAGUGGAUUGGUUAAGCAUGGCAAUACCCUUUCCCUUCUUGUGUCGCUUUCCAGUAUUAAAGCCCCCCAAGUGAUGGUGGCCACACCUUUAAUCCCAGCACAGAUGUAGAGACAGGCACAUCUCUGAAUUUGAGGCCAGCUUGCUCUAUAGAAAAAGUUCCAGGACAGCUAAGGCUACAUAGUGAGACUCUGCCUCUCAAAACAAAAC
rnacentral:lncRNA from 1 species